rnacentral:lncRNA from 1 species
UAAGAAAUCCAAAGAGUAUUUCUGACAAUACAAAUAUGCUAGCUUUAAGUCUGCUGUCAAUAUGCAAUUAAGAAGAUUAUACCAGCUGCAUGAUAAAGUUCCCCUAAUCUUAAUAACAGUAAACAUGAACAUGUCAGAUGCAAUUAUAGCUUUGAGCAUUUGCAUAACCAGAAAUCCUAACCUGAACAAGCACCAGAAGUGUCUCUCGGACUUUCUCCUUGCUGAUAAAUGGUCCGCUGUCUGAAGUAAGAGCAGGAGUAAGAGAUGGUGGAGGGGUUGGUGGUGGAAAAGGUUGAAGCACUGGGGCACCAUAUGGGCGUUGCAGACUCGGGGGAGGAUUAAGUGGCGGAGCUGUUGGUGUAGAUGAAGAGACAAGCUGCAUCAUCCGUGCAUAGGAGGAUGGAGGAGGAACAAAGAAUAAGGAAGGCUUUACAAGAUUAGGGGUAGGUGCUGAUAGAGGUGGAGAUGGUAUUUGCAAAGUUGGCACGAUAGGAGAAGCAACACUGGCGGGAUGAGAAGGUAAAGAAAUAGUUGUAUUGGACUGGUAAGGUUGUGCAGAGAUUGCUGCAUUAGAAGUAUUCCCCACAGUCAAAGCUGUCUGCAAUGAUAAGGACAGAUGUCAUAUAAAAGGACAUCAUAGAAGUUGAACCUCACACAAAAAUGAAGUGAUAACAUAUGAAAAUAGUAUAUGACUUGCUGCAUUUUUGUGGUAAUGUUGCAUACUUAUGUAGAAACAUAUUAUUUCAAAGAAAACAUACACUGAAGAAGUUCACAAAAGCAGGAUCUUCAGGAACAUCAACAGCAUUUGAGGGAGUUGACUCUAGAGGACCAUCCAUAACUGCCAUAGUUGGAACAGCUUCCAGUUCCUCAAACUCACUGCAGUUUAACAUAAAAGGAACUUGAUGACCAAUUUAAGUAAUAAUUAGAUGAUAUAAGAGGUUAGGGAAAAUGAUGAGUGGACCCUUAUGGAAGAUGAUUUCACCUUAGCUAAACACGAAAAUAAAAUGAAAUCAAAGCUGAAUCCUCGAGUGCAAUGCAAAUAAUUUUUUCUCUCUCUUCUCUAACUCCUCUUAUUCGAAAUUGCUCAUCAUUGUGCAGUUCCUCGAGAUUUUGCUAGAGUAGAGAAAGCUAUUCUCCCGUUAAGUGCAGAGGAAAAAGAAGGGCAAGGGCCUGGUAUGAUGCUAUUCUAUAGGAAGUGAGAAGGUGAAGGGCUAAAAUAUUUUGCAAUUUGGAGGUGGUGUUUGUUAGUGUGUGUACUUCUGAAUUUAUUACCUCUUUAGGAUCCAUAGAAAUUGCCUCUUGUUCAGCAUGCACUGUGCCUACGAGUAAGGCGAGCUUGCAUGGUAUCUAUUGUCUAUUUACUUGGAUAUUCAAACAGGACUACCAGCAACCAAACACAAAUCCCCAAACAAAACACUCUUUCAAGUGCAAGGAAAGAGUAACUUGGGCAUAUUUAUGGUUCAAGCACUACCAUAACUAAGAAUGUGAUGCUGUCCACAAACACUAUAUCAGUGCCUUUUGAACUACAUCACAUGCUCGAAGACUUUUUUUUAGUCAUACAUAAAUUAGCUAUAAAAUUAAGACCAUUAUACAACUAAAAAGAAAGAAAAAUUGUUUGCCACUACAUAUCAAAACUGGUAAUAGCAAUGUAAGAUGGCAGACUUCUUACUUAAACAGAUGAGAGGCUACAAAUAAAAAAUUUGUGCAAAUAAAAUAUAUGAUAAAGAGCAUAAUACCUUCUUGGGGGCUAAAAAUAAUAUACAACUUGUGAAAUAUAAAUUGAGCUACCAUUACCUUUUAGAUGUGGCAACUUUCGACUUUUGAGGCACCUUGGAAUAUGCAUUCAGAAUCCUGCAUUUGGAAACCAAAUAAACAACGUUAAUAACAAUUUUACAAUAGAAAAAUUAAAAAUUGAUAAAUGGCAGUUGUAAUUUAUGUAUGCGUAAAGAUAGCUUCACAUCCAGGGUCCUCCCAUAAACAUGCUUGUAACAAGAAUUAGUUUGCCUCAACUGCUAGCAACUAUACAAUAGUAAAAAUCACUCUUAUGAACUCAACAAUACUAGGCACCAAUAAGAGUAUGAUACAGCCAUUCUAAAUGGAAGAGAAUACAACUGUUUUACAACUAUGUUGCAUCAGGAGAUAUGUUAGGAGGAUUAAUCCAGAUACCUUCCAACCCAAUUAGGAAAACUCAAGGUCAGAAACCAGGAGCUGCAACCAAACCUUACAAUCUUGAAGGAAGAAGGAGACUUGGGGCAUUUUUCCAGAUAGGUGACUUACAAGAUCUCCUGCCAAGAAAAUAUCUACUGCUUCGAACCUCCAUUGAAAUUUCUUUUCCGUUUUUCUUGUUUUGACUUGGAACUUUCCAGCAUCAUCUAUUUGAUCUUUUUUAAAGCUAAAAUAGCAAUCUAUGGGUUGUCAACAUCUUAACCCCCCCCCCCCCCCCCGGGGGGCCCCCAAAAAAAAAACCAAUGAGUUGUCAAUAAAUAGCGCCUACUCAACUUAUGUUCUCCAAUGGAUGACAAUGUGCAAAUCGACCUAGCAGCCACAUUUUUCCCCCCUUUAAACCACCAUUAGGCAACUUUUCUAACCUUUCUUCAUUGCCCACGUCUACAGAACUAUCAUAUAAAGACUACAUUAUUAUUGGGAUAGAGAAAAAAAUACAGACUAUAUUAUUAUUAUAUCUCAUUUUAUUAAUUAACUAGUGCAAGACUUAUUUAGUGUCAAAUCAAGAACUAAUUAGAAAAGACAACUCAUGAUAAUACAGACCUUAAAAAGCAAUAGCUAGGACCACCCCAUGUACUCCUAUUUUAGCCUUCAAUAUCCUGGUAAAAACACAAUUAAGUCUUGCAAAAGAACAUUCACAAGUAAAUUCAACAUUAAUUAAGAUUAAGUAUCUACUGCACCUUCAAUCAAUGACUGGGUGAAUAGCAUGGUCAACCAUCCAGUUCCUGUAGCCCUCCUUGUACCUAUGUUAGUUACAUUUUACAUAUUAAGACACGAAAAUGAAGGAUCACAGCCUGGUAAAGAAAGCCAUUAAUUAAUAGUUUUUGUUUAAAAAGUUCUCGUUUAGAUCUUUCCUAUUCAAUGAAUCAAUGUAAUCCAAGGAGAACUCUUCCAUUUCAAGCAGUGUUAGAAGAUAAUUGGAAAGCCUAAAGAUAAUAUACAAGGACCAAGAUAUCAAUUAGGUCAAAUAGUGAAUGUCAAAUAUAAAAAAUAAAUAAAAGAAGUUGUACAUGAUCAUUUACUAUCAAGUUCUGUAAAACUGAAAAUACCAUUAUCCCUGUAGAGAUUCUCAAACAACUCUUUAGCAAAUUAUAAAAUAAUUAAAAAAAGAACGAAAGUUUAAAAAAAAAAAAUGUACAACAGCCAUAUCAGGAGAUGUUUUUCUUCUCAAUCUCAAUAUUUUCUAGCCGUAAAACAAUUGAAAAGCUUAACACCAAGUGAAUUAUUAAGAAUUCAUCAUUUAAAUUCCCAAAUCGCGAAAUGUUGGUGCAACUAGGAAAGUGCAAAUGCAAUCACUUUACUAACACAAGAAACAUCAAUAGUGAGAAGCCAACUUUGUAUCAAAUUUGAAACAGAUAGAUAGAGGUCAAAAAAAAUUAUAAAGACACUCAAUUAAAAGCCUUUCAAACAGCUUUUGCAUGCAACAAGAACAAAUCAAAGGCGAUGUGAAUGUAUUGAAAGACUAAUUUACAAUCAUCUACAGGACAUAAAUAUCUUGGAUAACUACUCUCUAUACCCUACUGUCCCACUGAAAAUCAUCAAAUCCCUCCAAACAAAAAUGACAAAAUGGAUAAGAAUUGUGUGGUCAAACUUCAAUAACUUAGCAGCCAGAGCAAAAACUUAUGUAGACACGCAAGCCACUCAAAAUAGUCAUAUUGUUUGCUUUCCAAACACAAGCCACUUUGUAAUGAAUAUUCAUAAAUUGCUACAACCAUGUUUGUUAAAACACGUGAAAACUACCAUCACUAACUAAAUGUAACUAAUGAUCAUCAUCACGUUCAUGGAAUCACAUGUCUGACAGUAUUAAUUAGUGCAAAUGGCAUGCUUCUUAAAACUCCUUAUUUAUCACAUGGGCGCCAUUCCAAUCAACCAAUGAUUCUGAUCUAGUCAGCAUAUUCAACCUACGAGCCAGUAAUACCUCCAUUGCUUCUUUAGAUUUCUCAACAAAAUUCCACAUUCUAACCAUACUUCUGAACUUGUUGCUCCCAUAGACUAAUACAAUAUAAAGAUUUCUUCCCACACCACCUCAGCCCCCACUCCUAAAAAACCAAUUUAAAUUCUCAUUGACUGUACAACCUAUAGUCCAUACCAAAUUGAAAAACUUACAAAUAUAGAACCUCAAAGAAUCUUCUUGCGUUCCAUUUUUUACAGCAAGAAAAUUGACUUUUACCACAUGCAAGUCAACAAAUAAAACAAUCAUGUCUUUGUGAGAUGCACAUUUUCAGACGAAUCUGAAGAACAAUGAAACCAUAAAAACCUAAUAUGAGAACACUGAGGACUCCAGAUAUCAUCUAUAGAAUCUUUGGUCCACCCUUGCAUAAUGAAAAAAAAUUGAAGGCUUCGUCACCAACUCCCCAGGUUGUUUUGUUCUCCUAUCUCCUAAAUCUAAAGGAAAGGCAACCCGUUCAUUUUCCAAUCUUAAGGGGCACAGAACGACUCUGGUAUAAAAUAGUCAGUUUCUAUACAAAAAUAACUCCUUUGCACUUGGCAUUCCACAUCUCGAAAUAAAAAGCAUGCAAGGAGGAGAAUAUAAUAGCAUUAAACAAGUUUUAUUAACCAAACUUCAAAGAUGCCAGACAAGGCAAAAAAGGAAUCUGUACAAGCCAGAUCCCAAGAAUAAUAAUUCCAAUAUACAAUUCACGAAAACAAUAACUAAAACCAUGUUCAUCAGGCCUCAGCAGAAGCAACAUGUAAUAGCCAUACUCUAUUAUUUGAAACACAUUUCCAAGUUUGGAAAAGAUUCUAAACUAUUCUCGAUCUGUCAAUUAUUAACAUGUAAAACAUAAUAAUAUACGCUUAAACUACUACAGUAGUAAAACCAGUAAAACAACAAUACCUGCUAAAAAGAUUUGCUACCUCUUCACAUUCGCGAGCAUUGUAGAACCAAAUCCCAUUUACUUCUUGGGAUGCAUUUCGAUAUAACAAAUACGGAACCUGAACUUCAAACUCAAAAUCUCCCAAAAGAUUUUUCACUAAAUUAUCUGCACAUAUCCAAGAUAUUGAAGCUUCUCAGUGCAAAAACAUAUGCAAAAAGACAUGAAGGUUAGGAGACAUAACUAAAACUUAGCAACAACUGAUAAGCACAACAAGAAAUGAAAUAUAACACGAGUUGUAAACAAGAUAGACGCACGGUAUCUAAAUAAUUGUACCAACCCCCUCUCCUGAUUGUCAUAAAACGGCCAAUAUUUAACGCUAGACAACAACAUGGCAAAUACUCUAGCCUCUAUAUUAUUGGCAUAUAAAUAUUUUCGGUUGGGUACAUUAUAUUCUUCGUUCUAAAACCUCAAUCAUUAGCUAGUACUGUGAUAAAAUGAUUCAUCACUGAAAUUAAAACUAGUUCACGUACAAAUAAUCAAAACUGAAAUAGAAACAAGGACAAACCAACCCGUAUUACGUCGAUUCAUUACAACAAACUGAAAUCGAGGCUGUGUGUUCCUGAAAAUUGAAAAAAUAAUAAUUUCACCAACUUCAUAUGUAAUACAAUCUCCAAAACAACGAAUAUCAAAUGAAAAAAUGGAAAGCAUAAGAGAGAAAAGAAUCUAAUUUUAUUGACCUUUUGACGACGAAGAGAGAUCCUUCAACAUCCUUACGACUCCAUUGGCCGUGAUUAGGAUCUCCUCAAUGAACGGAUCGAUUCGCUGAAGAACCGUCAGGUUUAGGAGUUUUGUGCUCUGCUGGUCCAGUUUAGGCAUCAAUUUUCCGUUCUGCGACAUUUUUUAUAGUCGUUUUGGGCUCUGCCCCGACCACUAGCCCUCAGGUUUUUCUGUGAGCUCUCUUUUGUAAAUAAAGUGUUUGAUGAGAUAGCCGAGAGAGAGUGAAAGAGUUGAACAGCCAAACAAGGUGAGGUGAACAGUUUCGGACUGAGACUCGAGAUUGGUCAAGCUUUAACUUCUUUCAAACAUUUGGGAAAUAGCAUUUAUUUCUUUCAAUUUCUCUAGGGAAAUUUACCAAAUUAGCCAUUAAAAUUUUGUAUUUUUCACUUUUAACCCCACUAACUUAUUUAUAUCAAUAUUAGCCAAACAACAAACUUUUGGACCAUAAUACCCUUACAAUCUCACCCAAAGCUCACCAAAGCUUGAACUCACCCACACUUCUCACCAAACGGAAGCACCAUAGAGAGCCAAAUCGGAGACCAUCAUCGGCGGCAAUCUCACCGGAAUCCCGUUCAACAACACUAAUUCCACCAAAAUCACGUAUAAUAGCAAUCAAAAUCUCCAAGAUAAUAGUUGAAGUUCAAAAACCCUAGGUUAGCAAUUUCAAACACAUGCUUUAUAUUGUUCUUGUGUUGUGUUGUGAUUGUGUGUUGUUGUGACGGUGUUUGUGGUGUUUGGUGGUGGUUGGUAGUGGUUGGUGGUCUAUUGUCGGACUAUGUUGGAGGCAAUACGUUGCAAUGGCUGUUGACCAAUUCGUGAAAAUUCGAAAUUUUUGUGCGACAGGUUUCCGUCGCACAAAAUUUUGUGCGACUGCCUUUCUGUCGCACAAAAAAUCUGAUUACACAAUCUGAAAUUUUGUGCGACAGGUUCCCGUCGCACUAAAUUUUGUGCAACUGUCUUUCUGUCGACCUUCGCAAGAAAAAUGUGUGGAUUUAUGACUCGUUGGUGGCAAUUCGUGAUGAUAAAACGUACAAGGAUAAGUUCAAGCCACUUGAAGUCGUCUUUCCUCGAUGGUUAGAAGAUGUCGGAUUUUACAACGUCCGACAUGACUUACGGAAUGCCGAACCUUGGAAUGUCAAAAUAUGUAAGGGUGUGCCGCAACAAGAGCAUGGUAGUGGCGACUGCGGCGUUUUUAUGUUGAUGAUCACGAUGUAUUUAAUGUUUGGGCUAAGACUUAAUUUUACUUGUGGCCACGGGCAAUACUUUAGGAAGAAAAUUGCCGUAGACAUAUUUAAUGGUAAUAUCGGCCUUUAGGAUAUUGUAGCGCCGAUAUAUAAUGAUGAAAUUGGAUUUUAGACGAUUGUAUUUAUAAUUAUUAUUGGUGUCUAACUUUUUUUUUCAUAUAAUUCAAAUAAUAAAUUUGCAAUAUAAUAAAAAUUAAAUAGGUUGUUAUAUAUAAUGGUGCAAUAAAUAAAAAUCCGUUCUCAAAAUACAUAACAAUUUAAAAUGAUACAAUUAGCUUCGUGUCGACGCAAUGGGAUUUUUGCACUUUUUUCGGUUAUGACCCACUUCAUUGCACCGGCCACAUCUUAUAGUUCUCCUGUCAACAUCCUCACCAACAGAGGGUAUUUUGAGCUCUAGACGACGGGCGGACGAUGGUGCUUCUAUUGGUGGGUUAACUUUCAUUGCUUGAAUUUCCUCAGCAUCUGUUGCACAAAAUUUGGUGCGACGGGAACCUGUCGCACAAAAUUUCAGAUUGUGUAAUCAGAUUUUUUGUGCGACAGAAAGGCAGUCGCACAUAAUUUGGUGCGACGGGAACCUGUCGCACAAAAUUUCAGAUUGUGUAAUAUGAAUUUUUGUGCGACAGGUUUCCGUCGCACAAAAUUUUGUGCGACGGGAACCUGUCACACAAAAAUUUUGAAUUUUCACGAAUUGGUCAACAGCCAUUGCAACGUAUUGCCUCCAACACAGUCCGACAAUAGACCACCAACCACCACCAAACACCACAAACACCAUCACAACAACACACAAUCACAACACAACACAAGAACAAUAUAAAGCAUGUGUUUGAAAUUGCUAACCUAGGGUUUUUGAACUUCAACUAUUAUCUUGGAGAUUUUGAUUGCUAUUAUACGUGAUUUUGGUGGAAUUAGUGUUGCUGAACGGGAUUCCGGUGAGAUUGCCGCCAAUGAUGGUCUCCGAUUUGGCUCUCUAUGGUGCUUCCGUUUGGUGAGAAGUGUGGGUGAGUUCAAGCUUUGGUGAGCUUUGGGUGAGAUUGUAAGGGUAUUAUGGUCCAAAAGUUUGUUGUUUGGCUAAUAUUGAUAGAAAUAAGUUAGUGGGGUUAAAAGUGAAAAAUACAAAUUUUUAAUGGCUAAUUUGGUAAAUUUCCCAUUUCUCUACUGUUUUUUUUUCCUUUAUGUCAUUUAGACCCCAAAAUUAGAUUUAUUAUAAUCAUAUUUUACCCAUUCACUAUUAACCCCUUUUAUUUUUUAUAUUGUCAAUAUUAAUGUAUUAGAAUAAUGUUAGAAAUCUCAAUUAUUAUCUCAAUGUUUCAAUCAUAACUAAUGUGAUAACUCAUCGGUAACUGCAACAUUAACUUAAUUAUUAAUGUUUAUCAUGAAAUGAUGAGAUUAUUAUUCAAGAAAAACUUAGUAAACAUUAAUGACUAAUAUAAUGUGAUAAUUACAGCUGAAUAUUAGUACAAUAAUUAGGAUCCCUAAAGUUAGUGAAUGUAUUAUAAUAUAUGUGUGUUACACCACUUUAUGUCUCUCAAAUUCAAUUAAGUAAUUUUAUAAACCUGACCUUUUAUUACAUUAAUUAAGAAUACAUACAUGAACUAAAGAUGUGCAGUUUUUGUUCUAUUUUUCACUAUUAUUUACCAUUCAUCUAAGUACGUCACUUGAUUUUUUGCGAUUAAUAUGCUUAAAUGGAUCUCUUUGAUAUAAAUAAAAUAAACGAAAAGUCUAAGAGAAAAAAAAAAGGAGGACCGAAAUUAUUACACCUACAACAAAUUUGCCCAGAGAGCAAUAAAUCAAACUUGCUUAGGAAGUUCAACAAUGAUUAGUUAAUAACUAAAAGAGCCUUCACCUAACAUGUUAAAGCUUCUGUCAAGCGAACACCCAUUGAAAGCUGUUUAGGUCCGUUUUAGAUCAUCGGAAAUUUGACAAAAUCAUAAAAACCCUCAUCUUAGAAAUUCCAAGCAUCAGGCAAUAGUCCUACUUUAUUGAUAUUGAGAUUGAGAGUUACACAAUAAAAGUUUCGUACAAAUUUUGCAAACGAAAAGCACAUAAUACACUUAACUAGGAGGAAAAAUUAAAGUGUAUAUAAUACGAACUGCUAACAAUAUACAAUAGUAAAAAUCACUCUUAUGAACUCACAAAUACUAGGCACCAAUAAGAGUAUGAUACAGCCAUUCUAAAUGAAAGUGAAUACAACUGUUUUAUAACUAUGUCACAUCAGGAGAUAUGUUAGCAGGAUUAAUCCAGAUACCUUUGAACCCAAUUAACGAACUCGAGUCAGAAACCAGGGGCCCCUAACUGAACCUUACAAUCUUGAAGGAAGAAGGAGACUUGUGGUCCAGAUAGGUGACUUACUAGAUCUCCUGCCAAAAGAGAAUAUCUAUUGUUUUGAACCUCCAUUGAAAUUUCUUUUUCCCUUUUCCUUGUUGUGACUCUUCCAUUGAAAUUUAAUGGAUCAAUGUAAUCCAAAGAGAACUCUUCCAUUUCAAACAGUGUUAGAAGAUAUUUGCAAAGCCUAAAAAUAAUAUACAAGGACCAAGAUAUACACAGAUGGUUUCUUUAUGGGACUAACGAGCUUUUUUAGAUGUUAAAACUGUUUCAAACUGUUUUUCUUGUUUGGUUUAACUAAGGAAGAGCUUGUGGAAGAUUAAAAAUGAUGUUUCCUAUUCUCUGUAGGAAGCUUUUAGGAGAUAUUUUGGGCUUUUUUAAAAGGUUGAAUUGUCAAAAAUACCUUGAUGUUAUUGUUUGCUAAAAGAUGUUAUGGACAACUAAACAACCAACAACAUUUUGUUAAAAGCUCUAUUAGUGUAAGAUCUACUUAAAGAAGCUAUACCAAACAGACUCUAAGACUGAAUAACUCGAUCUUAAGUUUGUAAAAUUGGCCGAUCAUACCGACAAAGUGAGUGCGCAACAUGAGGUGCUUGACGGGAUGUUUACUUUCGAUGAUACAACUAAAGCUAGCCUCAACAUAUAUCAGGUGCCUGCUUGUUUUUACCUUCUAGAUACUAAUGUUGUUUAGACGUGUAAUCUCUCUCUCCAUUGAACGCUAGACGGCUCGUCUCAAGCCUUCUACGUACUUCAGAGUCCUUCAUUAGCUUUUUAUGUAUAAAGUUUUGAUCUUUUUCCUUCAUUUGCUUGAAGCUCAUUACUGCAGAUUUGUUUUACAGGUUGCUAGUGUAACAUUCGACUUGCUGUUGCUUCUAGUCUUGGGAUCGUAUUUAAUUGUGCUUUUCAGCUUUCUUGUCAUAACAACUUGGGUAUCACUCUUUCUCCAUAUCAAGCUUGAAGUUCUAAAUUUCAGUUUUAUCUUGUAUUUGAUGUUUUAUAAUUUCAUUGCAAACAGAUUAGAAUAGAAACUUCAAAAGUUCCAACUGACUAGUCCCGUGUAACUUUUUCAGGGAAUAUUUUCUCUCAUAACAACUACGAACGUGUUAUGGUUUAGCUCAGUGACACAAAAGGACAGUUUUCAACAAUGGAUCCUAGGAAGAUGCCCAUAGCUUGUUUAGAUGCGAAAAGAUUUUGUUGAGAUUCAUUUUUCAUCCUGAUGUUACAGCUGGCCUUUUUUUUCUUUUUUGGCAGAGAAUAAUGCUUAUGUGAUUUCUGAACUUGGUGAUUGUUGAAAUGAGCUGAAAAUGAGCUGGAAAUGUGUUUGGUUAAUGAGAAAGAGAGCAAGAAAAUGAAAGAAAUCUAUUUCACUUUUUAUUUAUCAGCAUGAUUACAUUCACAAUGAAUCUAAGCUGCUAUUUAUACUUAAAUGACUACACACGAGAAUCUUCUUGCUAGAUACUUCUAGAAACUCUACACGCACACUCACACUGAGCUAGUGGUUACCAAAACCGUUACAACGAUAUUGCCAGCUCAGCAUAACCAACUUAUAACUAACACACUCAGCUGCAGGGGAAACCAUCAAGCUUACUGUGCGUCCUCUGUAAUCAAGCUUCUUUAAGCAUGCUCUGCAGAUCAUACGUCUGAAUUAUCGAAACAAGAUGAAUUAUUUUUUGUUUAUUGCAGCAGGCGAUCAAUGAGCGGAAUUUCUAGCUUGUAUUCAAUUCGCGAACACAGUUUGAGAAGAAUCAGACCAUUAAUUUUCUUUUGAGCCAAUCAACAGAAUGUACAUUUCUUCUAAGAACUUGUAACCGAAACCGCAGUUUUUCAGGUUUGAUGCAUCUGGGAAAUUUGUCAGAUGGAAGAAAACCACCAUGCGCCAAGGUACCAAUGAUGUUUCUUCCAGCUUAUGAGCACUUCAAAUAAACUUAGGUCAUAUUUACACAAGGGCGCACAUGAUAUCAAUCUAAUGGCAAUUAUAUCAUCUAAAAUCCAAAACCAAGAGUCUCCCAUUUUCCCGCCCUCUACUCUGUUCGUAUUAUCAUAACUUGAAGAUUGCAAGGCAGCCGCAAUCUCCCAGAUCUUUGCUCCUUCCUCAUAGCAGUUAGUCAAACGAUAAACAGAGAUAUCCCAUGUCAACAAGAAGGUAAUCAUAAAAGAACAACAGAAUUGUUGCAAUAUAUUCAUAUGAAAUGUAAAACAAUUUUGAGAAAAAAUAUUGGGAAGAUGAUUUUUUUUUUCAUAGAAGUUGCAAUCUUUACGUUAUAUGCUAGUUUGACUAUGCUAUAUAAGGAAGCUAUAUGAAAUUAGAAAAAUAAGCUAUACUAGGAAAGAAUAAAUAUAUGUACAGAAAAUGAGGCUAUAAUCCCUGACUUUCAACAAAUUUAAUAUCAAUUUUCUUCUGGAAGUUGUCUCAAAUGGGGCGCAUCAGUAUUGUAACAUACUGUGAGAUGCUUAAACUCAACAAUAUAAGCAUGGUAAAUUAGAGAAAAAUGAUGCAAUUUUACCUUCCCAUUCAUGUAUGCCAAGGCUUUUUGGGCUUCCUCUUCUGUACUGAAAGUCACAUACCCGUAACCUUUUGAUCUAUUCUUACCUUUAUCCAUUAUUAUUGUAGCUGCAAAAAGAAAAGAACCGGAUAUUACAAAAUAGUGAAAGGGAAGAGGGGUUGAGACUUAAAACAGAAAUAGACCAAACCCUCAGUGACUUGGCCAAAUUGUGAAAAAGCAUCAGCUAACAUCUCUUUAGUGGUCGAGAAAGAUACGCCUGCAAAGAAUGCCAGUUAAUUUUAUCAUAAUUAGAUGGUAAGAUUGCAAAUUCUGCAGCCAAAGGUGGUACGGAACUGAAUGAAGGAAAUCAAAUAUGAACAUGUUUUCAAUCUUAAAAUAUUAAGAGUAGCAUAAGUAACUUGUGAAACAGUUAUAAGUUCAAGGGAAUUAGAUGAUGGCAUGGUUGAAUUUAUAAAUAUUUGAUAUUUUGGACCGAACAGGGCAAACAGAUGGAUCCAGAUAAUCAAGAAAAACAUCAAUUCCAUGCAACCAAAUGAGUGUGGGCAAUGCAAUUGACCAACACUAUAAAAUUAUUCAAAGAAAUCUCUAGGUCAGUAUCCAAAUAUAUGGCUCCGUCCGUUCCACCACCACAACCAAAAAAAUCAGAUCCCCCCAUUUGGAUUCGAUUGAUUAAUUUGAGCAUAUAAAAUCAGGUUUUAAACUUCCCUAAUCAAAAUUUAUAUUCCACAGAAUCAGUUCCUUUAACAUGAUGCAUUACAUAAUAUUUUGUUUGCAAAAUAAAGAAGAAAGAUGACAUAAUAGAAACACUCAGAGAGAGAGAAUACCUUUGACGAAAAGCUUAGAAGUGAAUCCUCUGUAAAAUACGAGUUGAGCUGCUGAAUUUUCGAGUUUGAAUGAGAGACUGCGGCAAUUCUGAAAAUGUUUUUUUCUCAUUAGCGCCGCCAUUUUUGUAAUAGAGGGUAAAGAAAUAAGUAACAGAGUAAGAGGUGAGCAGAAGCGGCCCAAUUUAGUUAUAUGCCAUGCAUGCGAUCAAAAUUGAAUGGUUAAAUGGCAGCCACUAUGUUACAUCUUGUGUAAGUAACAAACCGCCUACAUGGAUCGUUGGAUUUGGGAAUAUGAAAUCCAAUGGAUAAUAUUGAAUUUAACGAAAAAUAGAUUACAGGUUGCAUUAGUCCAAGAUUAUUUCAAACAAACCAGCUGAUGAAAUAGCCGCUAAUCAAAUUUAAAAGGGAAAAAAAAAAUCAAAUUAUAGGUUAUAGAUCUUAUUUCCAUCUUAAAUCUAUGUCUUUCAUGGUGACUCAAUGUGUAUACUAAUUUAUAAUUUGGAUCUAUAUUAGAGCUAAUGCUUCCCUAAAUAACUAAGAAAAUUUUCUUUUCAUUGAUUAAAUAUCUAUUUCCAAUAUCUUGUAUAUUUAGGAUUUGAAAAGAGGAAAAAUAGUAGGGAUGAUAAUGAGAGAAGAUAGAGAUGUCGAUUCUCAAAUCUAAUAUUAAUGCUAUACUUAUAUUCCUAUACUAAAUAAAUUAUCCAAGGUUCGUGGUUAAUGAUACGUUGCGAAUUUUUAAUUUCUAUUUAAAGCUUUGUCUAAUAUGGCUUUUCAUAAAGCUUAGAGAAAAGUAAAGCUUUUACAAAAAAACAUUUAAUUAGAAUUGUGAUAAAUUUUCUUAAAAAAAUUUAAAAAGUACUUUAAUAAAUAAGCUUUUAAAGUUAUAUAUAUUAUGAAAGAAAUGAAAUAAGAUUAUAUAAUAAAUUAAGAGUAUCUUAGAUAAUUGAACUUUAAAAAAAAAACUCGCUAAGAGGUUUAAAAUUUGAGUUUUAAUAGUGGAUACAAAAUAGUUUAUUUAAUUCUCAAAAGCUCUACUCAAAAUAGUUUAUUUAAUUCUCAAAAAAUAAAUCAUGUCUUUACCGAUACUUACAACUGCUGGUUAAAUUCUGUUGUUUCCAAUAAUUUUAUGCUGUAUCUUCUUUAAUAAUAAAGAAAACUUGCAUUAAAAUUAAAAUUAGGGUAAUACCUGAUUUUAUAAAUAGAUUGCAAUGUAAUUUUGAAAAAUAAAACAAUAAUUUACAAAAUGUUUAUAACAUAAUUUUAAUUUUUUUCAAAAAGGAAAAACAACAAAAGUAAGAAAUAGAGAAUAAGGGCUACCAACUUUGUAUCUUAAACGGCCGUUAAAUUAUUUGUAAAUGAAAGCAACGGUCAGAUAUUGGUGGAUUAUGGAAACAUGUAAUCAUAAGGACUACGAGUUUUUUUUGUUACAUUGAUAUAUUACAAUUAAAAUUUUAUUGGUAUUUACAACUAGAAUUUCAUCUGACUAUCUUUGAUAAUUCUAAACUAGUACAGCCCAAAUUCUUAUUCUCAUAUAAUAUCAAAGAUAGAUAUAUAUUCUUUUCCUCCAUUAAUAACGAGACAUUUUUACUUCUAUCCAAUUUAAAUAGAACAAGAAUUAAGUCAUUUUAAUAGUUAGGACUCAGAACUCAUACACGCUAGUUUGAGAGUGUGGGGUGUGACAAUGGGCCAAGAGACCAUUGACAAGUACAAAAGAGUGGUAGAAAUUAAUUCAAACCGCUACACACGCUAUUGCAACCAAAUUGAGGGCCCAUUUUUGUUUAUUUCGUUGAAAAGUAGUCUGUAAAAUUAACUCAAACCGCUACAUACGCUAUUGCAACCCAAUUGAGGGCCCAUUUUUGUUUAUUUUGUUGAAAAGCAGUUUGCGCAAUUAAUUCAAACUGCUACACACGCUAUUGCAUCUUUUGAAAAAGAAAAAUGGAAUAGUUUUUCAAAAUUAGUUUAGAGAAUAAGAUUUACUAAUAAUGAUGUUAGAAAUCUUAAUAUUUGAAUCUUAAUAUUAUCUAUCACUCGUUUAUUAAAUAAUAGAUUUCAUAGUUUGUAAAAUUACUUAACCACUUGAUAAAUGUUAUAUUUGUUGGGACUAGAUUGGGACUUAAAUAUUGGAAUAUCUAGUAUUGCAUAAAAAAAAAAAACUUAACAAUUUAUCUUCACACGACUAAUUGUUUUUACAUCACAACUAACCUUAAUUAUUUUAAAAGUUAUAGUAUUAUUAAAUUGCCCUAACUAGUUAUCAAAAGGUGAAAGCAUGUUUAAAAAAGAAAUUACUAAGAAACAUUUGUUUAAACGAAGGUUAAGGUUAUGAUCAAUUAAUUAAGAAGAAACUUACUAUCAAAGGUUAAGAUUAUGAACAAUUUAAGGAAGUUAUUGAGUAGAGAAAGGGACAGAAUGGUUGUCUGAUUUGUCGGUGACAAGAAUGCUUGUGUUGUGAAAAGAAAGCCGAUGGUUUGUAAAUUUGUUGAAUUGGUCCCAAUUAGUAUAGUAACCAUCUAUUGAGCGGUAAAAUAUUAAUUUAAAUAGUCAUGAAAUCUAAUAUAUAAUAGAUUACUAACACACAUAAAUUAAAACUUAACUGUCAGAAAUCAUAACAUUACUCUACUCUUCAGUGGAGUUCUCUUAAACAGAUUAUGUGAGAUUGCCUACAUUAAAAAAUAUGUUAAGACUGCUUGUUGAAAAGCAAUAUUCGCUUUUCCAUUAUAUCCAUAGCUUUGAAUUGAUAAAGUUGUAUUCAACAACUCUUGAAAAGACUAAGCAGGUCUUCUUUGCAUUUGAUCACUGGUAUUUCAGUUAAGUUUGUCGUUUACUUAAAUUUUUCUUGCUUUCAAUUUCCACUGUUGUUUUUUUUUUUAAUAAAAUAAUUUGUUUAACUAGUCAUAGAAAUAAGAGAGAAAAUGGGUCAUUUCUUGACUCAAAGUCAAUUAUAAUUAUCAAAACUUGAGGGGACAUCGCAUGCCUAAAUUCCACGCACCCUAAAACAGUUUGAUUUGCUUUCACGCGUUCAUGAAUUUCCAUGAAAGAGCCUGUCUUUCGUCUCUUUCGGGACAAUGACUACAAUUAUGGAAAAAAAUUAUAAUUCUCGUUAGAUUGUAACCAAAUUAUUAUCCCUAAUUUUUUAAAGUUAAAUAAAAUAAAAUUCAUGCUUAAGUAUUUAGUAAUUAGAGAGAGAUAGAGAGGAUUGAGGGACAAUGUUUCGCGAUUUGGGGUCAAUUCAAAGUCAACUAACGUGUAAAACACGUGUAUGCAUAGAAAACGCUUAGAUUAUUUGUGUUCCAAGUGCAAGAAAUUAAGAAAAGAAAAAUUGAUUUCCUUUCAUGAACUUCCAAGAAAGAAAGAAGACCCUUCACCUUGUUCGUGACAACAAAUGAAUGAAUGAUGUUGAUAUGACAAAUACAAGCGCUAUUACAGGGAACAGCAUAAGACCGAGACUUGAUAAAAGGUUUGUUGAAUUACAUGUUAUUUUCUUUUGACUUGAAUGAUGUUGAAAAUAAAAUAAAAUAAAAUUGUAAUCAGGGUGAUGUGUGCAAUAUAGUGAAAUAAAUAAAUAGAGAAGAGAAAUUCGUUGAUCAAUAUUAAAGAACUCAUCCAAAGUGAUCGUCAAAGUCUAGAGGUUCGGUAUGAUUAGCAUUUAUUUUUAUUUUUUUUGGCUUAGCAUCAUAUAUAGUCACCUGUCGUGUGAUCUAGGACAUGUUUAGAAAUCCUUUUAUUUUAACUUCCGUAUUCUUAUUAUUUAAUUAGUUAUAAAGUUUUUAAGUAUUUGAGUAUUGAUCACAUGUCUCCUAAUCUAAAAAUAUGUUUUUACGAGUACAAAUAACAAACUAUGAUUUUAACAUCCUUUUAUACUAAACCCUAAAAAUACAUGAAUUUAUCAAAAUAAGUAAAUUAAUUUAAAUUGGUAUGGCAUAAUAGAAGUUUUACCUGCCAAAACAAAUUAAAAAAAUAUUACACUUAAAUCAAAUAUUGACAAAAAUAGAUAACAAUCUAAUGAGAAUCUUAACUAGACAUUUUUAAUUCUAUCCAAUUUAACUGGAACGAGAAUUAAGUCCUUUCAAUACUUAGGACUCAUAACUCAUACACACUAGUUUGAGAGUGUGGGGUGUGACAAUGGGACCAUUGACAAGUAUAAAAGAGUGGUCGCAAUUAAUUCAAACCACUACACACGCUAUAUUGAGGGCCCACUUUUGUUUAUUUCGUUGAAAAGUAGUUUUCACAAUUAAUUCAAACCGCUACACACGCUAUUGCGUCUUUUAAAAAAGAAAAAUGGAAUAGUUUUCCAAAAUUAAUUCAGAGAAGAAGAUUUACUAAUAAUGAUGUUAGAAAUCUUAAUAUUAUGUAUCACUCAUUUAUUAAAUAAUAGAUUUCAUAGUUUGUAAAUUUACUUAACCACUUGAUAAAUGUUAUAUUUGUUGGGACUAAAUUGGGACUUAGAUGUUGGAAUAUCUAGUAUUGCAUAAAAAAAUAAAUAAAAACUUAACAAUUUAUCUUCGCAUGACUAAUUGUUUUUACAUCACAACUAACCUUAGUUAUUUUUUAAAGUUAUAGUAUUAUUAAAUUGCCCUAACUGGUUAUCAAAAGAGGAAAGCAUGUUAAAAUAAGAAAUUACUAAGAAACAUGUGCUUAAACAGAGGUUAAGGCUACGAAUAAUUAAGAAGAAACAACUUACAAUCAAAGGUUAAGAUUAUGAACAAAUUAAGGAAGGUAUUGAGCAGAUAAAGGGACGGAAUCAUUGUCUGAAUUGCCGGUGACAAGAAUGCUUGUGUUGUGAAAAGAAAUCUGAUGGUUUGUAAAUUGUUGAAUUUUUUAUUCGCUCGCUCCAACUGACUUACUAAUGCCAAAUUUAUUACUUUGCACAGUAGUGUUUAGGAUCCUCAAGAUCAACUCUUAAUUUGGUCCCAAUUAGUGCAGAAAUCAUCUAUUGAGCAAUAGAAUAAGAAUUUUUCUAGUCAUGAAAUUUAAUAUAUAAUAUAUCCUUGACACACAUCGAUUAGAACUUAAUUGUUAGAAUUCAUAACAUUACUCUACUCUCAAGGGGAGUUCUCUUAACAUAUUAUCUUAGGUUGCCUACAUUCAAAAUAUGUUAGACUGCUCUUUGAAAGCAAUAUUCCCUUUUCCGUAACUUUGAAUUGAUCCAAUAGCUCUUGAAAAGCACAUAAUAAUCAUUAUAAAUUUAAUCAAAGACUAAGCAGGUCUUCUUUGCAUUUGAUCACUGGCAUUUCAGUUAAGUAUGUCAUUUACUUAAAUUUUUCUUGCUUUCAAUUUUCACUGUUGUUUUUUUUUUUAAUAAAAUAAUUUGUUUAACUAGUCACAGAAAUAAGAGAGAAAAUGGGCCAUUUCUUGACUCAAAGUCAAUUAUAAUUAUCAAAACUUGAGCGGACAUUGCAUGCCUAAAUUCCACACACCCUAAAACGGUUUGAUUUGCUUUCACGCGUUCAUGAUUUUCCAUGAAAGAGAGUGCCUCUCGUCUCUUUCCGGACAGUGACGACAAUUAUGUUAACGUGACAAAUACAUAACGUUAUUACAUACAAGAAUAAGUUUUUGGAGCCGAGACUUGAGGGAGGUUCUAUCUAAUUCUAAAGAUUGUAACCAAAUCAUUAUCCCCAAUUUUUUUCAGUUAAAUAAAAUAAAAUUUAUGCUUAAGUAUAAAUAAAAUCCAUAGUGGAUAAAUAUUUGAUUAUCGAUUUUUUUUAAUGUAAAAUUGCUGGUUUGUUGCUUAAAAUUUUCAAUAAUAAUUUCACUUAUUUAGUAAUUAGAGAGAGAGAGAGGAUUGAGGGCCAAUGUUUCGCGAUUUGGGGUCAAUUCAAAGUCAACUAAGGUGUAAAACAUGAUUUCCUUUCAUGAACUUCGAAGAAAGAAAGAAGACUCUUCACCUUCUUCAUGACAACGAAUGAUGUUGAUAUGACAAAUACAAUCGCUAUUACAGGGAACAGCAUAAGACCGAAAUUUGAUAAAGGGUUUGUUAAAUUACAUGUUAUUUUCUUGUUAACUGAAUUGGAAGAAAAAAUAAAAAUAAAAUAAAAUUGUAAUCAGUGUGAUGUGUGGAAUAUAUUGAAAUAAAUAAAUAGAGAAGAGAAAUUCGUUGAUCAAUAUUCAAGAACUCAUCCAAAGUGACUGUUAAAGUCUAGAGGUUCCGUAUGAUUAGCAUUUAUUUUUUAAUUUUUUGGCUUAACAUCAUAUGUAGUCACUGGUCGUGUGAUCUAGGACAGGUUUAGAAAUCUUUUUUUUUUUUUUAACUUCCGUAUUCUUAUUAUUUAAUUAGUUAUAGGGUUUUUUAGUAUUUGAGUAGUGAUCACAGGUCUCCUAAUCUAAAAUUAUGUUUUACGAGUACAAAUAAAAACUAGGAUUUUAACAGCCUUUUAUACUGAACCCUAAAAAUACAUGAAUUUAUCAAAAUAAAUAAAUUUGAAUUGGUAUGCCAUAAUAAAAAUUUUACUUGCCAAAACAAAUUAAAAAAAAAUAUGACGCUUAAAUCAAAUAUCGACAAAAAUAGAUAAAAAUCCAACAAGAAUCUCAAAAAUAAGAAAGAUAUCUUCAAAAUAGAAGCGUCCAAGAGAAAUUUGGCGAAGAUUUGCUAAUCCACAUUGAAAAUGUCACUUUUCCUUGAGAACUUCAUAAUGAUAUAUUAUGAGCCUAAGACAAAUACCAAUUACUCAAGUUAUGGCCCUAUGAAGACAUCCUAUUCAUUCUCCCUAGACCAGGACGUGUCGCACAUGUUUGCAUUCAAAUUUAGGUGAAAAUCUACUCUCAUUCAAGGGAUAUAUAGGUACCUGUGAAGUCUCAAACCCGAGAUAAUGUGAAAGCAAAUCGGGAGUUUGAUUAAAUUCAGCCAAUUAUUAGUGUGUACGGAUGGUAGGGAUGGAAAAAAACUCCGACCGUUCUUAGGUAUGGUAUUACCCAGAUCUGGCCUAAGCAUGUUUUUUUUGAACACUCAGAAUUUUUUAAUCAAAACUUAAAAAACCUAGAAUUUAUAUUUUAUAAUAUUAUAUAUAUUUAUUUUAUUUUAUAAUUUUAUAUUUUCAAAUUUUAUUUUAAUGAAUUGGAAUUAAAAAUAUGAGUUUUAAAUGUUUAAAAUUUUAAAAAUAGAUAAUAAGUGGACCAAAUGAACAAAAUAAUAGAUAUUUUAUAAUAUUCUUCAUAAAAAUCCAAGUUUUGAGCUAGCCCAUAAGCUUGUCUAGUGAAGUCUGGGUACCCGCGUUGCCCAAGGUUCCGUCAGAAUCCAGGCUGUGCAGAUAUUUAUGGACGGAGAGGAAAUAUUUUCAGUUGACUGAAUUAAAUAAAAAUAUAUUACAAUCAUAUUAUAUAUUAACAGUAAAAAUAAAAAGAAAUGAAGAAAAACGCAUGCAAGACUUAGACAAAGUCAAUUAAAAGCUGGGAGUAUCAUCAGUUCAAUUGGUUUUAAAUAGCGUAGAGCCAUCCUCUCGUUGUUGCAGAAGAGAGACAGAAAGAGUGUGUGUAGGCGAUUAUAAUUAAGCAGAUAUAAUGUGUGGUUCAAAAAGAGUGUGGGUGAGUGAGUUAAUUUUCAUAUUAUUAGUAGUAAAAGGGUGGUGGAGUGAGGGAUGUUUGGAGCAAGAGAGGUCUGCUCUCCUCCAACUCAGACAUUUCUUCAAUGAUGAUCACCGUCUUCAAAACUGGGUAGACGAUGAGUAUUAUUCAGAUUGUUGUCAGUGGGAACGGGUUGAGUGCAACGACACCACUGGCAGAGUGAUUGAAUUAGAUCUAGCAGUAACUCGGAAUUGGGAAUCAGCAGAGUGGUAUAUGAAUGCCUCUCUGUUUACUCCUUUUGAACAAUUAGAGUCUCUUGAUCUAAUAGGGAACAAUAUAGCCGGUUGUGUUGAAAAUGAAGGUCCGUAAUUUACUCUAUUUUAAUUCUUCCUCAUAAUUUUUUCCAUUUAUCUGAUCCCUUUUGGUUUUUAUUUAAUUUGUAUGUGAUACAAUAAAAUUACUUUUUAUUUUUUGGCAGGUCUAGAUAGGUUAUCAAGGUUGAACAACUUGAAGUUUCUUUAUUUAGACCUUAACCACUUCAACAACAGCAUCUUUUCAUCUCUAGGUGGUCUUUCAUCACUCAGAAACUUAUCAUUGGCUGCUAAUCGAUUGAAUGGAAGUGUUGAUAUUAAAGGUAAGUAAGCUUCAUCCCUUCUCCCCUGUCCCAUCUUUUGUGGAUCUUAUUUCACUGAGCAGCUGGAAGUAUUGAUACGAGAUCUAGCUAGACUCUUGCGAGUUUAGGCUUCACGGCUUUGAAUAGUAUAAAAAUAAGUUGAAGAAAUUAUCAAUAUAUGCAAUUUUCAAUGCUUCUCAUAAUCAGACACAAUUCAAUCUAAUUAUUUCGUAUGUCCUGUCUUCAAAAGUAAAGAAUUGUACACUAAUUGGAAAUCGACAUCGUAGCUUUUUAUUUUCUGUAAUGCUAUUUCUUCGUUAACAAGUUUAUAUCCUAAGAGGGAUUGGAUUGAAAAAAAAAAAGAAGUUUUGAUGUUCAAUGUAAGCCAUGAUAACCUGCAUCUUAUUUGUCUGCCGACAUCCAAAUUUGUGCACUGAAUUUAGUAUUUUGGUUAUUGUGAAGGGAUCAGAUAUUGGCUUCCAUAGACCAACUUGUAUUUACUUAAUUAAUUAAUUAACGACAUUUAGUAUUUAACAAAUUAAAAUUUCAUGUUUAAUCUAUUUUAAUUUUUUUAAGAAAAAAGAAAUAGAUAUAGCAGCAGGUAAAGCUGAAAUAAAUUUUAAUUCCUUACAAAUUUAAAUUCAUGGUUGUCAGCUAAAUAUAACUGCUUAAAGCCACUCUUUUCGCUGAGAUUUAACCAAAAAAAAAGGAGAAAAUAAUUUAUUUAAUUAACUCUGUUUUAAGUGUUGGAAUAAAUACAGGACUAGAAUCCUUGAGUAACUUGGAGAUGCUGGACAUGAGGGACAAUGCAAUCGACAAUCUAGUGGUUCCUAAAGGUAUACAAAAUGACACUAACCCAAAAUAAUUUAAUCCGAAAUUGUAUCCCAAAUAGAUUACAGAGGUUUGAGGAAGUUGGAUACCCUUUAUUUGGGGGGGAAGGGAAAUUGCAGUGAUAUAUGGAAGCAAGGUGUUGCAAUCAAUAAAGAAAUUCGUUGGUCAAUAUUCAAGGACUCAUCCAAAGUAAUCGUUAAACAUUUCUUCAAUGAUGAUCAACGUCUCAAAACUAGGUAGACGCGGGAGAUGAUGAGAAUAAUUUAGAUUGUUGUCAGUGGGAAGGGAUUGAGUGCAACAAAACCACAGGCAGAGUGAUUAAAUUAGAUCUAGCACAAACUCGAAAAUGGGAAUCAGCGAAGUGGUAUAUGAAUGCCUCUCUGUUUACUCCCUUUCAACAAUUAGAGUCUCUUGAUCUAAUUGGGAACAAUAUAGCUGAUUGUGUUAAAAACGAAGGUCAUUAAUUUACUCUAUUUUAAUUCUUCCUCCUCGUAAUUUCUUACAUCUAUCUGAUCCCUUUCGGCUUUUGUUUAAUUUGUACGUGAUACAAUAAAAUUAUUUUUUUUCAGGUCUGGAGAGGUUAUCAAGGUUGAACAACUUGAAGUUUCUUGAUUUAGGCUUUAACCACUUCAACAACAGCAUCUUUUCAUCUCUAGGUGGUCUUUCAUCACUUAGACACUUAUCAUUGGCUGAUAAUAGAUUGAAUGGAAGUAUUGAUGUUAAAGAUAAGCAAGCUUCAUCCCUUCUCUCGUGUCCCAUCUUUGUGGAUCUUAUUUCAUCGACCAGCUGGAAGUAUUGAUACGAGAUCUAGCUAGACUCUUGCUAGUUUAAGCUUCAAGGCUUUGAAUAUUAUAAAAAUAAGUUUAAGGAAUUAUCAAUAUAUGCAAUUUUCUAUGCUUCUCAUAAUCAGACACAAUUCAAUCUAAUUAUUUCGUAUGUCAUGUCUUCAAAAGUAAAGAAUUGUACACUAAACGGAAAUCGACAUUGUAGCUUUUUAAUUUUUCUAAUGCUCUUUCUUUGUUAACGAGUUUAUAUCCUGAGAGUGGAUUGGAUUAAAAAAAAAAAAAAAAAAAAGUUUUGAUGUUCAAGGUAAGCCAUAAUAACAUGCAUCUUAUUUAUCUGCCUAUAUCUAAAUUUGUGCACUGAAUUUAGUAUUUUGGUUAGUGUGAAGGGAUCAGAUAUUGGCUUCCAUAAACCAACUUGUAUUUACUUAAUUAAUUAAUUAACACCAUUUAGUAUUUAACAAAUUAAAAUUUCGUGUUUAAUUUGUCUUAUUUUUUAUUUUUUGAAGCAAGAAUAAGGUAUAGCAGUAGGUAAAGUUGAAAUACAUAUUUAUUCCUUACAAAUUUAAAUUCGUUUUCAGCCAAAUAUACCUACUUAAAACCACUCAAUCAGGCCAUUGGCAACAGUUUUUUAGGUUUUUCUAGUUAACCGUGUACUUUUUUGCUUAUUAAUAAAAUUCUUUUGUGCUGAGAUUUAAAAUAAAGAAGGAGAAAAUAAGUUAUUUAAUUAACCCUGUUUUUAAGUGUUGGCAUAAAUACAGGACUGGAUUCCUUGAGUAACUUGGAGGAGCUGGACAUGACAGGCAAUGCAAUCGAUAAUCUUGUGGUUCCUAAAGGUAUACAAAAUGUUCAAAUAUUAAUAAUUUGGAGGACAGUUUAAUUGAUUUGAUUAGGGAAUGCCCAAUGACACUUACCCAAAAUAAUUUAAUCUGAAAUUGUAUCCAAAACAGAUUUCAGAGGUUUGAGGAAGUUGAAUACCCUUCGUAUAGGGGGAACCAGAAUUCAAAUGAUAGAUGGAAGCAAGGUGUUGCAAUCAAUAGGAUCACUACCGUCCCUCAAAACACUUGACCUUUGGUAUACUAAUUUUACGGGAACAGUAGUUAAUCAAGGUAAGUAAAUCUUUUAUGUCGAAAAUAAUUGAAUUAAUAUAUAUAGCUAAAAUUUAUUGUUUCUACUUCUUUCUAAAUAGAAUUGCACAAUUUCACCAACUUGGAAGAAUUGAUAUUGCUCGAGUCUGAUCUCCAUGUAAGCCAGCUUCUACAAAGCAUCGCAUCAUUCACUUCGUUAAAGUAUUUGUCAAUGGGAGGUUGUACUUAAUGAAGCAAUUAUGGGUAUCCAAAAGAUUUUUUCUUAAUUCGAUAAUAAAUUAUGGGUAUCUGAAGCUUUUAUGAUAUUAAUUCGAUAAUAAUUCUUUCUUUUCAAGUUAAUUUUUUCCCCUAAAAUAAGAUUUUUUUUCUUUUAAAUUUCAUAUAUUUUCAUUGUCCAAUAGUUCUAGCUUCUCUUAAUUGCAGGAUUCUUGAUUAAGGUUAAUGAAAUUUUAGUUCUGUUAUGUUAAGAAUAUUUCGAUCGCUUAGAAGAGUAAAGAAAAAUAAGUAAAUUAACCAAAAAAAAAAGAGAAAAGGACCGGAUUAUCCUUAUUCCCUUGCAUUAUGUGAUCAAUAUCAAAAUUAUAACCAUUUCUUGUUUAUUGCUUGUAGAUUUUCUUAAAUUCAAGAAUUUGGAACAUCUGGACAUGGGUGGGGCGCAAGUUGACGUCAACACCAGUUUUCUUCAAAUUGUCGGCGAAUCGAUGCCUUCUCUUAAGUUUUUAUCACUGACAGGUUCAAGUCUUAAUAAAAACGCCAUUCUUGAUCAAGGUUAGUUAAUGAUUCUCUUUCUCCCUCUCUCGCAUCUUAACUAAAUUUAAUUGAGAAUAUCUAUAAUGCUAGCUAUUUAUAAACUUAAUGAAAGAUGAUAAGGAGCUACUAUAAUGACAAAAACAACUGUAAAAAUAGUGCGCUGUUGUAGUGUUAAUUGAAAAAUAAUGCUAAUUUUAUAGUCAUUUUGUUGCCAUUACGUCAGAUUCCAUUGUUCAAUUAUUUAAGUUUUAUGCAAAUAUAUUUUUCAGGACUUUGUCGGUUAGUGCAUCUACAAGAGUUAUACAUCGGCGGUAAUGAUUUGAGAGGUAGCUUGCCAUGGUGCUUGGCAAACAUGACAUCCCUCCAAGUGUUAGAUGCCUCUUUUAAUCAACUUACUGGAAACAUCUCCCCAGGCCUUUGUGAGUUGGUGCUUCUGAGAGAGUUAUACAUUGAUUACAAUUAUUUAAGAGGUAGCUUGCCUUUGUGCUUGGCAAAUUUGACUUCCCUUCGAGUAUUAGAUGUCUCUUACAAUCAACUUACUGAAAACAUCUCAUCUUCCCUCAUGCAUCUAAUAUCUAUGGAAAAGCUCAUACUUUCAAAUAAUCACUUCUUCCAAAUCCCUAUUUCACUUGAACCACUUUUCAAUCUCACAAAACUCAAGACUUUCGAUGGUGAAAUAUACGCAGAAACUGAGUCACAUUAUAAUUCUUUGACCCCAAAAUUCCAAUUGACUUCUAUCUCAUUGUCUGGCUACGGAGAUGGUGGCACAUUUCCCAAAUUCUUGUACCAUCAGCAUGACUUGAAGAAUGCUGAUCUCUCACACCUUAACUUGAGUGGAAAUUUUCCAAAUUGGUUGGUAGAAAACAAUACGAACUUAGAGACGCUUCUUCUUGCCAAUAACUCUCUUUUUGGAUCAUUUCGGAUGCCAAUUCAUUCCCACCAGAAAUUAGCAACAUUGGAUGUCUCCAACAAUUUCUUUCAAGGCCAUAUCCCAGUAGAAAUCGGAACAUAUCUGCCAGGCUUAAUGCAUUUAAACUUAUCUAGAAAUGCUUUCAACGGUAGCAUUCCCUCUUCAUUUGCUGAUACGAAAAUGUUGAAAAAGCUUGGACAUAUCCUACAAUCAGUUGACUGGUGAAAUCCCUGAGCGCAUGGCCAUGGGUUGCUUCUCAUUGGAAAUUCUUGCAUUGUCAAACAACAGUUUGCAAGGUCAUAUAUUCUCUAAAAAAUUUAACUUGACAAAUUUGAUGAUGUUGCAGUUGGAUGGUAAUAAAUUCAUUGGAGAGAUCCCAGAAAGCUUAUCUAAGUGCUAUUUGUUGGGAGGAUUGUAUCUGAGUGAUAAUCAUCUCUCUGGUGAGAUUCCAAGAUGGUUGGGUAAUUUGUCAGGUUUAGAAGAUAUUAUAAUGCCCAAUAACAAUCUUGAAGGACCAAUUCCAAUCGAGUUUUGUCAGCUUGAUUAUCUGAAGAUUUUAGACCUUUCAAACAAUAGUAUUUUUGGAACUUUACCAUCUUGUUUUAGUCCAGCAUCUAUCGAACAAGUUCAUUUGUCGAAAAAACAAGAUAGAAGGACGGCUGGAGAGUAUAAUCCAUGACAGCCCUCAUUUGGUGACAUUCGAUCUUAGUUAUAACAGCUUACACGGAAGUAUUCCAAAUCGGAUUGACAGACUACCUCAGUUAAACUACCUUCUUUUAGCUCAUAAUUAUAUUAAAGGCGAAAUACCAGUUCAAUUAUGCCAGUUGAAGGAAGUGCGGUUGAUUGAUCUUUCUCAUAAUAAUCUAUCUGGUCAUAUUCCUCCUUGCUUGGUUAACACUUCACUCAGUGAAGGUCAUCAUGAGGCAGUAGCUCCAACUUCUAGUUCGUGUGGUCGAGCGUCUGGCUAUGCAAGUCCAUGUGCGAAAAAUACAAGUGGACUUCCGAUGGGAAAGGAAGAAACUGUACAGUUCACAACAAAGAAUAUGUCCUACUAUUAUCAAGGAAGAAUUUUGACGAGUAUGUCUGGGAUUGAUCUUUCUUGUAACAAACUGACAGGUGAGAUUCCUACUCAAAUUGGAUAUCUUACAAGGAUUCGUGCGCUAAAUCUAUCUCAUAACAAUUUGACGGGCACAAUCCCGACAACAUUUUCAAACCUGAAGCAAAUCGAAAGCUUGGACCUCUCCUACAACCUACUGCAUGGGAAAAUCCCUUCUCAGCUCACUGUGCUAAAUACAUUGGCGGUCUUCACAGUAGCAUACAAUAACUUAUCAGGAAAAAUUCCAGAUAGAGUUGCACAAUUUUCAACUUUUGAGGAAGAUAGCUAUGAGGGGAAUCCUUUUCUUUGUGGAUGGCCACUGUCUAAAAGUUGCAAUGAUAGUGGAUUAUCAGCAGUGACACGAGAAGCUUACACUGAUAAUGAAGAAGGUGAUAGUUUAAUUGACAUGGACAGUUUCCUAAUCACUUUUACAGUAUCUUAUGGAAUUGUGAUAUUAGGAAUUAUUGGAGUUUUGUACAUAAACCCCUAUUGGCGACGAAGAUGGUUUUACCUUGUUGAAGUAUGUAUGAUCUCUUGCUACUAUUUUGUAGUAGAUAAUCUUAUUCCUAGAAGAUUCUAUGGUGGAUGGAUGUAAUUUCAUUUACUUUACAACUUAUAUGUAAUUUUUAAAGAAUUUUCUUUUGCAUGCAUGGAAUAGCAACUCAAUAAAAGUAUUUGAUGCAAAUUGUCCUAGAACAACUUAGUAAUUUCAUUGCUACUAUUUGGUUGUAUAUAUACAGUUAAUGAAAUUUUUUAAUCAUUCGCAGUAGGAAUUUCUUUAGAUGGCGGCCAAAACUAACAGAUUUGGGGCUCUACUUCUACACAUCAUAACAGGCAAAAGGUCUCUCUUUUACACGAUCUGAAUGAAGAUUAACUUACGCCCUCUAGGCUCUGGAGUGUGUGUAAGUUCUCUAUUAAACUUGACGGUUGAGAUUUCAGGUCCAGAUGAAAGUGAAAUGCAGGCGACGAGACUACACUUUAAGUAAACUGGGACAAACUUAAAAUAAAAAAAAUUGUAGUCCAGGGUGAGAGUGAUGGGUAGCUCAACUUAUGGAGGAUAACUAGGACUUGGAAUAACUAUCAGAUUUGCAACUCUUGUUAUAUGCUAGUGGGGAUUUUAGGUAGAAAUUUUUUUUUUUUUUCCUUUUUGCCCUCUUCCUCACAAUAAAAACACGUAACACACCAAGCCGUGCCCAAAAUAAUCCUAUUUUAUUCAUGUCAUGAAUCCAAAAACUAUCCCAGCUCACUUUGUUUAACCAGCAUAACUAAAUUGUGGGUAUAAAUGAACACACUUUCGAAGCCUGUAACUUAUAAUAAGCUCAAACCCAAAAAUGACAUUUAAAUCCUGCAAGUGUUUUUCAUCAUCCCUAACAAAAGAAACAAGAAAAUUAUAUACCAAUAAUUUUUCCAUAAAAAAUACUGAUUUGAGUUGAAACACUAUACAAACUGGGUUUUAUACACUUGCAGAAAGCUACACGGUAGACAAAAUCUAGCAGCUACAUAUUGGUAUCACUUUCAGCUGGUCAUGAAUGGUGUGCAUUCAGCAGUGCUCGAUAGACCAUGUCUAUGAAUUGAUUGUCCUAUUACAUAUAAAAAGCUGGUCAGAUAUACAAGGAAAAAAAUAAUAAUUGAAAAUGCAUCACAAAAAAUAAGUGUUUCGCAUUAGUGUUUGCACUCUAAGCAUGGCAAAGUGGUGCGGGGUUCAUGAUUUUGAAGACUGUGAUAAGUGAAAAAUAGUUCAAUCCACUGAUGAACAUAAAUUUAUUUACAUGUCAAUUUAGAUAUCAUCAAAAAGUAAACAGUAAUUCAGAGUCACUUAAAAUAGUUGAUAAAAUGCGUGCCAUGAAUGUAUUUUGUACAUAAGAAAUCCAAAGAGUAUUUCUGACAAUACAAAUAUGCUAGCUUUAAGUCUGCUGUCAAUAUGCAAUUAAGAAGAUUAUACCAGCUGCAUGAUAAAGUUCCCCUAAUCUUAAUAACAGUAAACAUGAACAUGUCAGAUGCAAUUAGCUUUGAGCAUUUGCAUAACCAGAAAUCCUAACCUGAACAAGCACCAGAAGUGUCUCUCGGACUUUCUCCUUGCUGAUAAAUGGUCCGCUGUCUGAAGUAAGAGCAGGAGUAAGAGAUGGUGGAGGGUUGGUGGUGGAAAAGGUUGAAGCACUGGGGCACCAUAUGGGCGUUGCAGACUCGGGGGAGGAUUAAGUGGCGGAGCUGUUGGUGUAGAUGAAGAGACAAGCUGCAUCAUCCGUGCAUAGGAGGAUGGAGGAGGAACAAAGAAUAAGGAAGGCUUUACAAGAUUAGGGGUAGGUGCUGAUAGAGGUGGAGAUGGUAUUUGCAAAGUUGGCACGAUAGGAGAAAGCAACACUGGCGGGAUGAGAAGGUAAAGAAAUAGUUGUAUUGGACUGGUAAGGUUGUGCAGAGAUUGCUGCAUUAGAAUUAUUCCCCACAGUCAAAGCUGUCUGCAAUGAUAAGGACAGAUGUCAUAUAAAAGGACAUCAUAGAAGUUGAACCUCACACAAAAAUGAAGUGAUAACAUAUGAAAAUAGUAUAUGACUUGCUGCAUUUUGUGGUAAUGUUGCAUACUUAUGUAGAAACAUAUUAUUUCAAAGAAAACAUACACUGAAGAAGUUCACAAAAGCAGGAUCUUCAGGAACAUCAACAGCAUUUGAGGGAGUUGACUCUAGAGGACCAUCCAUAACUGCCAUAGUUGGAACAGCUUCCAGUUCCUCAAACUCACUGCAGUUUAACAUAAAAGGAACUUGAUGACCAAUUUAAGUAAUAAUUAGAUGAUAUAAGAGGUUAGGGAAAAUGAUGAGUGGACCCUUAUGGAAGAUGAUUUCACCUUAGCUAAACACGAAAAUAAAAUGAAAUCAAAGCUGAAUCCUCGAGUGCAAUGCAAAUAAUUUUUUCUCUCUCUUCUCUAACUCCUCUUAUUCGAAAUUGCUCAUCAUUGUGCAGUUCCUCGAGAUUUUGCUAGAGUAGAGAAAGCUAUUCUCCCGUUAAGUGCAGAGGAAAAAAGGGCAAGGGCCUGGUAUGAUGCUAUUCUAUAGGAAGUGAGAAGGUGAAGGGCUAAAAUAUUUUGCAAUUUGGAGGUGGUGUUUGUUAGUGUGUGUACUUCUGAAUUUAUUACCUCUUUAGGAUCCAUAGAAAUUGCCUCUUGUUCAGCAUGCACUGUGCCUACGAGUAAGGCGAGCUUGCAUGGUAUCUAUUGUCUAUUUACUUGGAUAUUCAAACAGGACUACCAGCAACCAAACACAAAUCCCAAAACAAACACUCUUUCAAGUGCAAGGAAAGAGUAACUUGGGCAUAUUUAUGGUUCAAGCACUACAAUAACUAAGAAUGUGAUGACUGUCCACAAACACUAUAUCAGUGCCUUUUGAACUACAUCACAUGCUUGAAGACUUUUUUUUUAGUCAUACAUAAAUUAGCUAUAAAAUCAAGACCCUUAUACAACUAAAAAGAAAGAAAAAUUGUUUGCUACUACAUAUCAAAACUGGUAAUAGCAAUGUAAGAUGGCAGACUUCUUACUUAAACAGAUGAGAGGCUACAAAUAAAAAUUUGUGCAAAUAAAAUAUAUGAUAAAGAGCAUAAUACUUUCUUGGGGGCUAAAAAUAAUAUACAACUUGUGAAAUAUAAAUUGAGCUACCAUUACCUUUUAGAUGUGGCAACUUUCGACUUUUGAGGCACCUUGGAAUAUGCAUUCAGAAUCCUGCAUUUGGAAGCCAAUAAAUAAUGUUAAUAACAAUUUUACAAUAGAAAAAUUAAAAAUUGAUAAAUGGCAGUUGUAAUUUAUGUAUGGUAAAGAUAGCAUCACAUCCAGGUUCCUCCCAUAAACAUGCUUGUAACAAGAAUUAGUUUGCCUCAACUGCUAGCAACUAUACAAUAGUAAAAAUCACUCUUAUGAACUCAAAAUACUAGGCACCAAUAAGAGUAUGACACAGCCAUUCUAAAUGGAAGAGAAUACAACUGUUUUACAACUAUGUUGCAUCAGGAGAUAUGUUAGGAGGAUUAAUCCAGAUACCUUCCAACCCAAAUUAGGAAAACUCGAGUCAGAAACCAGGAGCUGCAACCAAACCUUACAAUCUUGAAGGAAGAAGGAGACUUGGGGCAUUUUUCCAGAUAGGUGACUUACAAGAUCUCCUGCCAAGAAAAUAUCUAUUGCUUUGAACCUCCAUUGAAAUUUCUUUUCCUUUUUCUUGUUUUGACUUGGAACUUUCCAGCAUCAUCUAUUUGAUCUUUUUUAAAGCUAAAAUAGCAAUCUAUGCGUUGUCAACAUCUUAUCCCUUGAUACGAGAUCUAGCUAGACUCUUGCUAGUUUAAGCUUCAAGGCUUGAAUAUUAUAAAAUAAGUUUAAGGAAUUAUCAAUAUAUGCAAUUUUCUAUGCUUCUCAUAAUCAGACACAAUUCAAUCUAAUUAUUUCGUAUGUCAUGUCUUCAAAAGUAAAGAAUUGUACACUAAACGGAAAUCGACAUUGUAGCUUUUUAAUUUUUCUAAUGCUCUUUCUUGUUAACGAGUUUAUAUCCUGAGAGUGGAUUGGAUUAAAAAAAAAAAAAAAAAAAGUUUUGAUGUUCAAGGUAAGCCAUAAUAACAUGCAUCUUAUUUAUCUGCCUAUAUCUAAAUUUGUGCACUGAAUUUAGUAUUUUGGUUAGUGUGAAGGGAUCAGAUAUUGGCUUCCAUAAACCAACUUGUAUUUACUUAAUUAAUUAAUUAACACCAUUUAGUAUUUAACAAAUUAAAAUUUCGUGUUUAAUUUGUCUUAUUUUUUAUUUUUUGAAGCAAGAAUAAGGUAUAGCAGUAGGUAAAGUUGAAAUACAUAUUUAUUCCUUACAAAUUUAAAUUCGUUUUCAGCCAAAUAUACCUACUUAAAACCACUCAAUCAGGCCAUUGGCAACAGUUUUUUAGGUUUUUCUAGUUAACCGUGUACUUUUUUGCUUAUUAAUAAAAUUCUUUUGUGCUGAGAUUUAAAAUAAAGAAGGAGAAAAUAAGUUAUUUAAUUAACCCUGUUUUUAAGUGUUGGCAUAAAUACAGGACUGGAUUCCUUGAGUAACUUGGAGGAGCUGGACAUGACAGGCAAUGCAAUCGAUAAUCUUGUGUUCCUAAAGGUAUACAAAAUGUUCAAAUAUUAAUAAUUUGGAGGACAGUUUAAUUGAUUUGAUUAGGGAAUGCCCAAUGACACUUACCCAAAAUAAUUUAAUCUGAAAUUGUAUCCAAAACAGAUUUCAGAGGUUUGAGGAAGUUGAAUACCCUUCGUAUAGGGGGAACCAGAAUUCAAAUGAUAGAUGGAAGCAAGGUGUUGCAAUCAAUAGGAUCACUACCGUCCCUCAAAACACUUGACCUUUGGUAUACUAAUUUUACGGGAACAGUAGUUAAUCAAGGUAAGUAAAUCUUUUAUGUCGAAAAUAAUUGAAUUAAUAUAUAUAGCUAAAAUUUAUUGUUUCUACUUCUUUCUAAAUAGAAUUGCACAAUUUCACCAACUUGGAAGAAUUGAUAUUGCGAGUCUGAUCUCCAUGUAAGCCAGCUUCUACAAAGCAUCGCAUCAUUCACUUCGUUAAAGUAUUUGUCAAUGGGAGGUUGUACUUAAUGAAGCAAUUAUGGGUAUCCAAAAGAUUUUUUCUUAAUUCGAUAAUAAAUUAUGGGUAUCUGAAGCUUUUAUGAUAUUAAUUCGAUAAUAAUUCUUUCUUUUCAAGUUAAUUUUUUCCCCUAAAAUAAGAUUUUUUUUCUUUUAAAUUUCAUAUAUUUUCAUUGUCCAAUAGUUCUAGCUUCUCUUAAUUGCAGGAUUCUUGAUUAAGGUUAAUGAAAUUUUAGUUCUGUUAUGUUAAGAAUAUUUCGAUCGCUUAGAAGAGUAAAGAAAAAUAAGUAAAUUAACCAAAAAAAAAAGAGAAAAGGACCGGAUUAUCCUUAUUCCCUUGCAUUAUGUGAUCAAUAUCAAAAUUAUAACCAUUUCUUGUUUAUUGCUUGUAGAUUUUCUUAAAUUCAAGAAUUUGGAACAUCUGGACAUGGGUGGGGCGCAAGUUGACGUCAACACCAGUUUUCUUCAAAUUGUCGGCGAAUCGAUGCCUUCUCUUAAGUUUUUAUCACUGACAGGUUCAAGUCUUAAUAAAAACGCCAUUCUUGAUCAAGGUUAGUUAAUGAUUCUCUUUCUCCCUCUCUCGCAUCUUAACUAAAUUUAAUUGAGAAUAUCUAUAAUGCUAGCUAUUUAUAAACUUAAUGAAAGAUGAUAAGGAGCUACUAUAAUGACAAAAACAACUGUAAAAUAGUGCGCUGUUGUAGUGUUAAUUGAAAAAUAAUGCUAAUUUUAUAGUCAUUUUGUUGCCAUUACGUCAGAUUCCAUUGUUCAAUUAUUUAAGUUUUAUGCAAAUAUAUUUUUCAGGACUUUGUCGGUUAGUGCAUCUACAAGAGUUAUACAUCGGCGGUAAUGAUUUGAGAGGUAGCUUGCCAUGGUGCUUGGCAAACAUGACAUCCCUCCAAGUGUUAGAUGCCUCUUUUAAUCAACUUACUGGAAACAUCUCCCCAGGCCUUUGUGAGUUGGUGCUUCUGAGAGAGUUAUACAUUGAUUACAAUUAUUUAAGAGGUAGCUUGCCUUUGUGCUUGGCAAAUUUGACUUCCCUUCGAGUAUUAGAUGUCUCUUACAAUCAACUUACUGAAAACAUCUCAUCUUCCCUCAUGCAUCUAAUAUCUAUGGAAAAGCUCAUACUUUCAAAUAAUCACUUCUUCCAAAUCCCUAUUUCACUUGAACCACUUUUCAAUCUCACAAAACUCAAGACUUUCGAUGGUGAAAUAUACGCAGAAACUGAGUCACAUUAUAAUUCUUUGACCCCAAAAUUCCAAUUGACUUCUAUCUCAUUGUCUGGCUACGGAGAUGGUGGCACAUUUCCCAAAUUCUUGUACCAUCAGCAUGACUUGAAGAAUGCUGAUCUCUCACACCUUAACUUGAGUGGAAAUUUUCCAAAUUGGUUGGUAGAAAACAAUACGAACUUAGAGACGCUUCUUCUUGCCAAUAACUCUCUUUUGGAUCAUUUCGGAUGCCAAUUCAUUCCCACCAGAAAUUAGCAACAUUGGAUGUCUCCAACAAUUUCUUUCAAGGCCAUAUCCCAGUAGAAAUCGGAACAUAUCUGCCAGGCUUAAUGCAUUUAAACUUAUCUAGAAAUGCUUUCAACGGUAGCAUUCCCUCUUCAUUUGCUGAUACGAAAAUGUUGAAAAGCUUGGACAUAUCCUACAAUCAGUUGACUGGUGAAAUCCCUGAGCGCAUGGCCAUGGGUUGCUUCUCAUUGGAAAUUCUUGCAUUGUCAAAACAACAGUUUUGCAAGGUCAUAUAUUCUCCUAAAAAAUUUAAACUUGACAAAUUUGAUGAUGUUGCAGUUGGAUGGUAAUAAAUUCAUUGGAGAGAUCCCAGAAAGCUUAUCUAAGUGCUAUUUGUUGGAGGAUUGUAUCUGAGUGAUAAUCAUCUCUCUGGUGAGAUUCCAAGAUGGUUGGGUAAUUUGUCAGGUUUAGAAGAUAUUAUAAUGCCCAAUAACAAUCUUGAAGGACCAAUUCCAAUCGAGUUUUGUCAGCUUGAUUAUCUGAAGAUUUUAGACCUUUCAAACAAUAGUAUUUUUGGAACUUUACCAUCUUGUUUUAGUCCAGCAUCUAUCGAACAAGUUCAUUUGUCGAAAAAACAAGAUAGAAGGACGGCUGGAGAGUAUAAUCCAUGACAGCCCUCAUUUGGUGACAUUCGAUCUUAGUUAUAACAGCUUACACGGAAGUAUUCCAAAUCGGAUUGACAGACUACCUCAGUUAAACUACCUUCUUUUAGCUCAUAAUUAUAUUAAAGGCGAAAUACCAGUUCAAUUAUGCCAGUUGAAGGAAGUGCGGUUGAUUGAUCUUUCUCAUAAUAAUCUAUCUGGUCAUAUUCCUCCUUGCUUGGUUAACACUUCACUCAGUGAAGGUCAUCAUGAGGCAGUAGCUCCAACUUCUAGUUCGUGUGGUCGAGCGUCUGGCUAUGCAAGUCCAUGUGCGAAAAAUACAAGUGGACUUCCGAUGGGAAAGGAAGAAACUGUACAGUUCACAACAAAGAAUAUGUCCUACUAUUAUCAAGGAAGAAUUUUGACGAGUAUGUCUGGGAUUGAUCUUUCUUGUAACAAACUGACAGGUGAGAUUCCUACUCAAAUUGGAUAUCUUACAAGGAUUCGUGCGCUAAAUCUAUCUCAUAACAAUUUGACGGGCACAAUCCCGACAACAUUUUCAAACCUGAAGCAAAUCGAAAGCUUGGACCUCUCCUACAACCUACUGCAUGGGAAAAUCCCUUCUCAGCUCACUGUGCUAAAUACAUUGGCGGUCUUCACAGUAGCAUACAAUAACUUAUCAGGAAAAAUUCCAGAUAGAGUUGCACAAUUUUCAAACUUUUGAGGAAGAUAGCUAUGAGGGGAAUCCUUUUCUUUGUGGAUGGCCACUGUCUAAAAGUUGCAAUGAUAGUGGAUUAUCAGCAGUGACACGAGAAGCUUACACUGAUAAUGAAGAAGGUGAUAGUUUAAUUGACAUGGACAGUUUCCUAAUCACUUUUACAGUAUCUUAUGGAAUUGUGAUAUUAGGAAUUAUUGGAGUUUUGUACAUAAACCCCUAUUGGCGACGAAGAUGGUUUUACCUUGUUGAAGUAUGUAUGAUCUCUUGCUACUAUUUUGUAGUAGAUAAUCUUAUUCCUAGAAGAUUCUAUGGUGGAUGGAUGUAAUUUCAUUUACUUUACAACUUAUAUGUAAUUUUUAAAGAAUUUUCUUUUGCAUGCAUGGAAUAGCAACUCAAUAAAAGUAUUUGAUGCAAAUUGUCCUAGAACAACUUAGUAAUUUCAUUGCUACUAUUUGGUUGUAUAUAUACAGUUAAUGAAAUUUUUAAUCAUUCGCAGUAGGAAUUUCUUUAGAUGGCGGCCAAAACUAACAGAUUUGGGGCUCUACUUCUACACAUCAUAACAGGCAAAAGGUCUCUCUUUUACACGAUCUGAAUGAAGAUUAACUUACGCCCUCUAGGCUCUGGAGUGUGUGUAAGUUCUCUAUUAAACUUGACGGUUGAGAUUUCAGGUCCAGAUGAAAGUGAAAUGCAGGCGACGAGACUACACUUUAAGUAAACUGGGACAAACUUAAAAUAAAAAAAAUUGUAGUCCAGGGUGAGAGUGAUGGGUAGCUCAACUUAUGGAGGAUAACUAGGACUUGGAAUAACUAUCAGAUUUGCAACUCUUGUUAUAUGCUAGUGGGGAUUUAGGUAGAAAUUUUUUUUUUUUUCCUUUUUGCCCUCUUCCUCACAAUAAAAACACGUAACACACCAAGCCGUGCCCAAAAUAAUCCUAUUUUAUUCAUGUCAUGAAUCCAAAAACUAUCCCAGCUCACUUUGUUUAACCAGCAUAACUAAAUUGUGGUAUAAAUGAACACACUUUCGAAGCCUGUAACUUAUAAUAAGCUCAAACCCAAAAAUGACAUUUAAAUCCUGCAAGUGUUUUUCAUCAUCCCUAACAAAAAGAAACAAGAAUAAUUAUAUACCAAUAAUUUUUCCAUAAAAAAUACUGAUUUUGAGUUGAAACACUAUACAAACUGGGUUUUAUACACUUGCAGAAAGCUACACGGUAGACAAAAUCUAGCAGCUACAUAUUGGUAUCACUUUCAGCUGGUCAUGAAUGGUGUGCAUUCAGCAGUGCUCGAUAGACCAUGUCUAUGAAUUGAUUGUCCUAUUACAUAUAAAAGCUGGUCAGAUAUACAAGGAAAAAAAUAAUAAUUGAAAAUGCAUCACAAAAAAUAAGUGUUUCGCAUUAGUGUUUGCACUCUAAGCAUGGCAAAGUGGUGCGGGGUUCAUGAUUUUGAAGACUGUGAUAAGUGAAAAAUAGUUCAAUCCACUGAUGAACAUAAAUUUAUUUACAUGUCAAUUUAGAUAUCAUCAAAAAGUAAACAGUAAUUCAGAGUCACUUAAAAUAGUUGAUAAAAUGCGUGCCAUGAAUGUAUUUUUGUACAUAAGAAAUCCAAAGAGUAUUUCUGACAAUACAAAUAUGCUAGCUUUAAGUCUGCUGUCAAUAUGCAAUUAAGAAGAUUAUACCAGCUGCAUGAUAAAGUUCCCCUAAUCUUAAUAACAGUAAACAUGAACAUGUCAGAUGCAAUUAUAGCUUUGAGCAUUUGCAUAACCAGAAAUCCUAACCUGAACAAGCACCAGAAGUGUCUCUCGGACUUUCUCCUUGCUGAUAAAUGGUCCGCUGUCUGAAGUAAGAGCAGGAGUAAGAGAUGGUGGAGGGGUUGGUGGUGGAAAAGGUUGAAGCACUGGGGCACCAUAUGGGCGUUGCAGACUCGGGGAGGAUUAAGUGGCGGAGCUGUUGGUGUAGAUGAAGAGACAAGCUGCAUCAUCCGUGCAUAGGAGGAUGGAGGAGGAACAAAGAAUAAGGAAGGCUUUACAAGAUUAGGGGUAGGUGCUGAUAGAGGUGGAGAUGGUAUUUGCAAAGUUGGCACGAUAGGAGAAGCAACACUGGCGGGAUGAGAAGGUAAAGAAAUAGUUGUAUUGGACUGGUAAGGUUGUGCAGAGAUUGCUGCAUUAGAA